GCACUCAUUAAUGUCAAAUGUUAGGUGAUAUGAUGAUUCAUAUAUUAGUUAUUAAUGAAUCACAUGAUCAUGUUUAAAGCUUUGAAUUAUAACCUAAUGAGAAUUCUGUUUCUUAAUAGUUUAGUGAAAAAGUUCUUGCAAUUCAUAAAAAUAACCAGAGCACUUAUAUUUUGUUUACUGUGUAUCUUAGUCUGAAUUCACCCACAAUUUUAUAUUUUCCAAUAUUUGAUCCAUUUCUACUAUGUAGAAGGUUAGGAAGGACAUGAAUUAAGCUGAAUGUUAAUCCUUCUCCAGCUUCAAGUAUAUAUGAACCUAAAUGCAUGUAUCCUUAAUGCUUGUACUUAAAUAGCCAUAGCACAGAGUAGAAGGUGACUAAUCCUUAGAAAUUUGAUUGCACAGAAUGAAAACAUAAUUGGCUUUUUUGUACAACAAGCUAUUAAUAUUUGAAUCAGAUACUAAGGAAUAAGUGGAAUUUCAUUGUAGGGGGAGCACCUGGAGUGGUACCAACUUGAGAGGAAGGGAGAGCAAGAGAUUAUCUGGAGUACAAGCAGGGAAUGUGAAGGGUUUGCAAGGAAUGAUGUCAGAACUGUGGACAUGAUUAGAAAUGUUUCACGUGAUUAUGCAAAAGCUGAAUUAUUAUAGUGUCAUUAUAUUAGGUAUUUGUUUGGUAUCCUGAGUUGAAAGCUUGGAUUUGUAGUCUAUAUAUUUGUGACCACUCUUUAUGGAAGACACUGAUUAGGAAGAACACAAUAGGGACUCUUUCUGUUUAAUUUACCACUAUCUAGUGUACCCACUUUUGAGUAAAAUAAAGAGAAUAUUCUUUUGAAAAUAACAAAAAAUCCCUUCCUUUUUUUAAAUUGAUUUUAUUUUUUAAAUAUACAACAGCAGAUGUAUUAUGAUUCUUAUUACACAUAUAGAGUACAAUUUUUCAUAUCUUUGUAUAAAGUAUGUUCAUGCCAAUUCAUGUCUUUAUACAUGUACUUGUUUUUUGCAUUAAAAUUCUUAUUACACAUAUAUACCACAAUUUUUCAUAUCUGUUUGUAUAUAAAGUAGGUUGACACUCAAUUCGUGUCUUCAUAUCUUUACUUUGGAUAAUGAUGUCCAUCACAUUCCAUCAUCCUUGCUAAUCCCCUGCCUCCUCCCUUUCCCUCCCUCCCCUCUUCCCUAUCUAGAAUUCAUCUGUUCUUCCCAUGUUCCCCCUCCCUACCCCACUAUGAGUCAGCCUCCUUAUAUCAGAGAAAACAUUCGGCAUUUUUGUUUUUUGGGGAUUGGCUAACUUCACUUAGUUAUCUUCUCCAAUGCCAUCCAUUUACCUGCAAAUACCAUGAUUUUAUUAUCUUUUAUUGCUGAGUAAAAUUACAUUGUGUAUAUAUGCCACAUUUUUUUAAUCCAUUCAUCCACUGAAAGACAUCUAGGUUGGCUCCACAGUGUAGCUGUUGUGAAUUGUGCUGCUAUAAACAUUGAUGUGGCUGUGACCCUGUAGUGUGCUGUUUUCAAGUCCUUUGGAUAUAGUCCAAGGAGAGGGACAGCUGGGUCAAAUGGUGGUUCCAUUCCCAGAUUUCCAAGGAAUCUCCAUAUUGCUUUCCAUAUUGUCUUCACCAAUUUGCAGUCCCAUCAACAACAUAUGAGUGUACCUUUUCCCCACAUCCUCGCCUUUAUGUCAGUGUCAGUUGUAGAAUUAUAUGAAUAGGAGCUGCUUGAGAUAUAUG
rnacentral:lncRNA from 1 species